rnacentral:rRNA from 1 species
UACGGAGGAUCCAAGCGUUAUCCGGAAUCAUUGGGUUUAAAGGGUCCGUAGGCGGUUUUAUAAGUCAGUGGUGAAAUCCGGCAGCUCAACUGUCGAACUGCCAUUGAUACUGUAGAACUUGAAUUAUUGUGAAGUAACUAGAAUAUGUAGUGUAGCGGUGAAAUGCUUAGAUAUUACAUGGAAUACCAAUUGCGAAGGCAGGUUACUAACAAUACAUUGACGCUGAUGGACGAAAGCGUGGGGAGCGAACAGG